GGCCUGCCGCGGCGAGCGGGUCGCGCUCGCGCUGCGGCCGCUGGGCGGCCGGUUCCCGCAGCCGCCGGCGGGUUUC
rnacentral:tRNA from 1 species